rnacentral:rRNA from 1 species
GGGGAAUAUUGCACAAUGGGGAAAACCCUGAUGCAGCGACGCCGCGUGAGCGAUGAAGUAUUUCGGUAUGUAAAGCUCUAUCAGCAGGGAAGAAAAUGACGGUACCUGACUAAGAAGCCCCGGCUAACUAC